GUCGAGCCGGUGCUGCCGCGGCCACCGCCACCGCCCAGGGGCUCCGGGGCUGUGGGGAGCGGCUGAACUCAAUACCGCCUCCGCGCUGACUGGAAGGCACUGCGGCCGCGCCUGCCUGCCCCACCUCGUAAGGGCCUGUGACCUCACGAGGCCAGCCGCCGGGCGCUGCAUUCGAGCGAACUUCAGAUUGAAAAGCAUGUACUUGAGUAGCUGUAUUUAAGGAAUUACACCCAAGAAGUCUCAUCUUCCCUGGACUUACGUAGAGGAUAAGAUUCUGAACUUUGAAUUGAUGCUAUAAUGGGAUAAGACUUUGGGGCCUUAGAAGGGGUAAGUUUAUUUUGCAUGUGGGAGAACUAUAAAUAAUUUGUGACCAGAGGGUUGCCUGAGGUAGUCUUAAAAUAUGUCCACAAACACUUUGAUAUUUGUAUUCAUUUCCUAUGCUGUGGUAACAAAUUACCACAAACUUAGUGGCUUAAAUAGCACAAAUUUAUCAUCCCAAGUUUCUGGAGGCCAGAAGUACAAAAUGAGCCUUACAGUGUUAAAAUCAAAGGCUGCAUUUCUUAUUGAGGCCGUGGAAGAGAAUCCAUUCUUUGCCUUUUCCAACUUCUACGGGCUGUAUACAUUGCUUGACUUAUGGCCAUAUCAGUCUGACCCACUUCCAUUCACUCUCACUCUGGCCCCCCUAACUCCCUCUCUUUUUUUUUUUUUUUUUUUUUUUUGAGACAGAGUAUUACUCUGUCAUCCAGGCUGGAGUGCUGUGGCACAAUCUCGGCUCACUGUAACCUUUGCCUCCUGGGUUCAAGCGAUUCUUAUGCCUUGGCCUCACAAGUAGUUGGGAUUACAGGUGCGUGCCACCAUGCCCAACUAAUUUUUUUGUAUUUUUAGUAGAGACAGGGUUUCGCCAUGUUGGCCAGGCUGGUCUCAAACUCAUGGCCUCAAGUGAUCCAACCACCUCAGCCUCCCAAAGUCCUGGGAUUACAGGCAUGAGCCACUAAGCCCAGCCCUGACCCCCUCUUAUAAGGACACUUGUGAUUACAUUGAGCCUCCCCAGAUAAUCCAGGAUGAUUGCCUCAUCUAAAGAUCAUUAAUUAUGUCAACAAAGUUGUUUGUUCCACGUAAGGUAACAUAUUCACAGGUUCUGGAGAUGGGGAUGUGGCUGUCUUUGGGGGGCAAUGAUUCUGUACACAAUGCUCCUCCCUUCAAGAGGUGGCAUCUAUUUCCCUCCUCUUGAAUGUUAGCUGGAUUUAGUGGGCUACUUCUAAUGAAUAGUGUAUGGCAGAAAUUAUGGUGUAACACUUACAAAACUAAGUCAUAAAAAAAUUGUAGCUUCCUCCCUGUUCUCUCUUGGAUUACUCCCGCUGGGAGAAACUAGCUGACAUGUCAUGCAGACACUCAAGCAGUCCUAUAGAGAUAUCCAAGUGGUGAGGAACUAAGGUCUAUUGCCAAUAGCCAGCAUGGAAUUGAUGCCUCCUGCCAACAGCCAUGUGAGUAAGCCAUCUUAGAAAAGGAUUCUCCAGCCCUUUUUAGCCUUCAACCGACUACAGCCCUGGCCAACAGUUUGACUCCAACCUCAUGAGAGUCUCUGAGCCAGAACCACCCAGCUAAGCCAUUCCUAAAUUCCUGACCACAGAAACAGCAAGAUAAUGUUUGUUGUUUUAAGCUACUAAAUUGUGGAGUAAUUUCUUAUGCAGCAACAGAUAACUAAUACAAUCCCCACUGGGUGUGGUGGCAUGCACCUGUAGUCCCAGCUACGUGGGGAGGUUGAGGUGGGAGGAUUGCUUGAACCCAGGAGUUCGAGUCCAACCUGGGCAACAAAGCAAGACCUUACCUCCUUAAAAAAAUUUUAAAAAUAAAUAAAAUAAUACAAUCCCCAAGGUCACAUAUUGAGCUAUGAGGGCUACUUAACUUCUAGGUAUUAACUCUGCAUUCCCGCCUGCAAGAUGAAGGAAAUGGAGAAAAGUAUGUUCCUUCCCUUAAACAGCAUUUACUGGAAGUUGCAUACACCUCUUUCAUUUACAUCUCAUUGUCUAUGAGAUGGACAUGGCACAUGUAGCUACAAGAUUUUUGCAUGCUCUUUGUAUCUAGCAACUUUACUAAAUUUGCUUAUUAGUAAUAAAAGAAUAUUUAUUCUGGGCAACCAUGUGCCCAACUAAACAGCAGAAGUUCUAAUAUUAUGUGAGAAGGAGAAAACAUACUGGGCACAAUCAGCAAUCUCUGUCACAAUGGUGAGUGUAAGGGUCAGGAAAGGCAAAGUCCAGCACACACCCAUCAACAUUUUUUUCCAAUUUCUUAACGAAGUAUUUCCAUUGGCCACCAAAGCGAUAUUUACACAUCAUCACUGUGAUCUCUCCAAAGAAUCAAGCCAAUUCUGUAUGAGUCACUGGAAAAUCCAAUUACUAUACUAAAAUGAAAUCAAUUGUGAAACGUUUUCCUUACAAGUUCUUAUUGGGGACACUGCUAAAGAAUAAUUUAAAAUGGACAUUUUGUUUAAAGGCUCCUAAAUUUUCUAAAUGGUGCUUUCUGUGAGCAAUCUUUGAUGUGUCAGAAAAUAUACAGCUGAUGAAAGUGUUUCCUUUAUGCAAGGAGUUGGAGGGGCUUCAUUAUAACAUUAGCAGCCUCAAGGAAGGCAGUCAUGUUCCUGACCUCUUCAUUUUCUUUUCACAUACAAACCAUUCUUAGGUAGCCACAUUAAGUGGAUUUUUAAAUUUUUAUGUAAUGAUAUACUUAACCCUAAUCACAAGCUUCUAAGACUGCCUCCUUGCAUGUUUUAACCAAACUAAAACAAAUUAGGAAUAUAUACUUCCAUAAAUAUAUUGUAUUAUAAAACCAAUUAGAAAUGAUUUUUAAAUGGCUUAUUUGCAGAGCAUACGUUAUGGUUCCAUUAUACUGUGAAAACUGAGUAAUUCCCAGGCAAUCUGCUUGUAAUUGGUCCCAGUGGCCAUUAGAUGGCUCUGUUACUGUAGAGUUUGGACUACCGAAGCCAAGCGUUAAAGGAUUACAAAUGUGGCUUGACAUAUAGCUUUUCAUCUCAUUUUACAUAAGAUCCUCUAUUUUCAUCCAGACAUUUAGUCAGCAGUUACCAAGACGUAAAUAAAACAUAGUGAAUCUCACAAGAUUUCACCAUAAAAGGUCUCAGUCUAUGUUCACGUAAUCUCUUAAUGAUGUCAUGUAUUGUAUUAUGCUCAAAAAAUGUACAUUAUGUUAGGAAUUUAAGACUCAGGCCAGGCACCGUAGCUCACACUUGUAAUUCCAGUACUUUAGGAGGUAAAGGUGGAAGGAUUGCUUGAGCCCAGGAGUUUGAGACCAGCCGGGGCAAUAUAGUGAGACCUCAUCUCUACAAAAAAAUAUGUAUUUAAUUAGCCGAGUAUGGUGGCAUGUGUCUGUAGUCCCAACGCUUUGGAAGGCCAAGGCAGGAGAAUCCCUUGAGCUUGGGAGGUCAAGGCUGCAGUGGCCAUGAUGAUGCCACUGCAUUCUGGCAACAAAAUGAGAUCCCGUCUGAAAAAAAAAAAAAGGACUUAAAGACAAAGAUUAUGUUAUCAGUGUUCUGUAAGGUACUUCAGUCCCACACUGUUGGUGUUCAAUAAAUUUUAAACAGCCUUUUGGCUGUAAAGUAAAAAAUUCUAAGUAUUAUUCUAGCAUCCUAUAGGAUGAUAAUGUUAAUAAUUAAGAUUUUGAUCCUAUCUCCUGUGAAUAAAUUCUGUAAGAAUAUUUCCUUGCUUGUGUCUUAGUACACAUAAAAAGUAUCCUGUUAGUUUUUCCCCAGGAUUCUAUUCUUCCAGUUUUUCAUGGGAAUUUGUGGUCAUGAGUGAAAGCAAGAUACCCAAGAUCAUUUAACCUGGAAAAUAGGUCAAAGUAGAUUUUCAUUUUGUGUGGGUGGAUAUUUCAUCUUCUGAGUAUGUCAGGCAAGGUUUGCUAUUAACUGUAUAUAGUAACUAAGCUGCCUUACUAUAAAGUUCUUUCUAGGCAAGAAGGCUAAAUAUGUGAUUCCUUAAAUCAGUUGUUCUUAAACUUGAGCAUGAAUUAGAAUCACCAGGGAGGCUUCUUAAAACAGAUCAUGGGUCCCCACUCCCAGAUUUUCUGAUUCAGCAGCUGUGGGGUGGGGCCUGUCAAUUUUCAUUUCUAACAAGUUUCCAGCUGAUAUUGAUGUUGCUGGUCUUGGGACCACACUUUGACACCCACUGCCUUAAAUAAAAUUUAGGCAUUUAAAUGGUCCUGUAAAUAAUUUGCCAUUAAGCUAUUAUUUUAUCCAUUUAUGCUUCCUACAAACAAAAUCUAGGCUACACUGGCAGUCUGUUCUUUUGAGGUUGCACAAGUUCCUAAAUAAUACCCAAUUAAAAAAAAAAAACCGCAAACUCUUAGAACAGUAAUAACCUACUCAUUUAAAAAAUAUUAAGUCUAAAGAGGGCCGGGCCUGGUGGCUCACACCUGUAAUUCCAGCAUUUUGGGAAGCCGAGGCCGGCGGAUCAGUUGAGGUCAGGAGUUUGUGACCAGCCUGGCCAACAUGGUGAAACCCUGUCUCUACUAAAAAUACAAAAAUUAGCCGGAUGUGAUGAUGCACACCUGUAAUCCCAGCUACUCAGGAGGCUGAGGCAGGAGAAUUGCUUGAGCCCCGGAGGCAGAUGUUGUAGUGAGCAGGGAUCACACCACUGCACUCCAGCCUGGGCAACAGAGAGAGACUCCAUCUCAAAAAUAAAUAAAAAUACAAAAAUUUGCCAGGUAUGGUGGUGGGCGCCUGUAAUCCCAGCCACUCGGGAGGCUGAGGCAGGAGAAUCUCCUGAGCCCAGGAAGCAGAGGUUGCAAUGAGCCGAGAUCGCGCUCACUUCACUCCAGCCUGGGCAACAGAGCGAGACUCCAUCUCAACAACAACAACAAAAAAAUCUAAAGAGAAGCUCUGGAUUCUGAAGCUAGCUUCAGUACCCAUAGUAGUCAUCAUUCUGUUACAUUUGGAAACAUGCUUGUUCUAAAAUAAUCAUUUCUGAGUCAAUGACACCUAUUCUUUUCAUCCAAAGGAAACAGAAAUAACAACACAGGAAGCACUGAGCAGCCUUAGGCCAAUUCUUUUUGGAAAGUACAUUUAAUUUACUGUUGCACAAACCCAAACAGAGAAGGUGGUUAGGAAGUGAGGAAGGCACUUAAGAAAUUUCAACCACAGCCGGGGGCAGUGGCUCACGCCUGUAAUCCCAGCACUUUGGGAGGCCGAGGCGGGAGGAUCACGAGGUCAGGAGAUCGAGACCUUCCUGGCUAACACCGUGAAACCCCGUCUCUACUAAAAAUACAAAAAGAAAUUAGCCGGGCGUGGUGGCAGGUGCCUGUAAUCCCAGCUACUCGGGAGGCUGAGGCAGGAGAAUGGCGUGAACCCGGGAGGCGAAGCUUGCAGUGAGCAGAGAUCGUGCCACUGCACUCCAGCCUGGGUGAUAGAGCAAGACUCUGUCUCAAAAAAAAAAAAAAAAAGAAAAGAAAUUUCAACCAGGAAUACUUAACAAAGAAAAAGAGGCCUUUGGACCCCAUUAAAAUCAUGGAUGACUGGCCGGGCACAGUGCUUCACACUUGUAAUCCCAGCACUGUGGGAGGCCGAGGAAGGUGGAUCGCCUAAGGUCAGGAGUUCGAGACCAGCCUGGCCAACAUGGUGAAACCCCGUCUCUACUAAAAAUACAAAAAUUAGCCGGGUGUGGUGGCGGGUGCCUGUAAUCCCGGCUACUGGGGAGGCUGAGGCAGGAGAAUGGCUUGAACCUGAGAGGCAGAGAUUGCAGUGAACUGAGAUCUUGCCAUUGCAUUCCAGCUUGGGCAACAAGAGUGAGGCUUUGUCUCAAAUUAAAAAAAAAAUCAUGGAUGACCUGGGAAUCUCAGAGAAGUAAAGAACUGACUCCUAAUAUGGCAACUUGUCAGGAAUAUUCAAAGUUUUCCGUUAUUGUCCACAGAUCCUGAGACUGGACAUAAAUUUUCUCCAAAAGAGCUAGACACAAUCCCUUUGUGCCGUGUUAUCUGAUGCCAGAACACUGUUUAGCUGUUCACCCCACAGGCCAAAACUGCUAUUUGCUACCUCAUGAAUGCAGCUACAGGUUAUCCCCACAUAUUGACAAAUAAUAUUGGUCUUCAAGACCUGUGAACUUCAUUCCAGUAGCUCAGACAAGAUUCCUGAUUUGAUUCACCUGUUAAAUACAUUUUCUUCCCCCUUUGAUACAGUUUCUUCAUAUAAAACAUCUUAUCUAAAGAAAAUGUCCCAUUAACACUCUCAUGGACUCUGUCUUAGUAACUGAAGAUUAUAAUCACAGGCGUGAGCCACCACACCUGUCUUAGUAGCUGAAGGUUAUAAUUACAGGCAUGAGCUUCCACACCUGUUCCCUGCCACUAUUUCUAAGGACUUCUUGGAUCCAUGACUAUCCCUCCCCGCCCCCUAUUUAUCCCUCUACCAUACUGCCAUUCCCUACAGUAAGGAGUAAUCCAUGGGUGAGACAGGGCUCAGUCAUUGCCCCAUAUCUAAUUCCAAGGCUUAUUCUCAAUGUUAACACAAUAAUACAGAAUAGAUAUUUCAGCUACUUAUGGAUUCCUCUUCCCUAAUAUGUGGAUGCAAAUGUGUGCAAAGUGAAGAAAGAAAUAAUAACUAAAUGAAGCUUAAGUGCUACAUCAGGAGAGACGUAACUAUUAACAAAUGUUGGAAAACGGGUUUGGAGAGAGGAUAGAAUGAGACUUUCAUUGAGAAAGGUGAUAUGGAAUGACAUCUGCUCUUGCCAAAGCCAGGUCUCUCAGAUCUCCCAACUAAAAACACAAACAGUAUCAAUAUCCCAGAGAAUCUUAACCGCACAUUUGAUGACACAGUAAGUCCCAGCAUCUUAGAAUGUUGAUACUGAAAGAGACCUUCAAGACUGGCUGCUAAAAUCCCAUCAUUUCUCAAACUAGAAAACAGCUUUAAGAAGAAGAAAGUGACUUGCCUUAAUUAAAGAUUAUUUAGCUGUAACACUGAGGCCAGAGCUCCAGUUUUCUGCUCAUGGAACAAAUGUUGAUAAGUCUUUCUUUUUUUCUUGGGCAUUUGGGGGUGGCUUUUAAUGUUGGAUGUAUGUCAACACCAAUGGAGCCACUGCUUUUCUGGGACAAAAGAACAGUCCCUCUUCCUCAGGAAAGGUCCAAUGUGUCCACACAUCUAUCCCCAUAGCCUUCUAUCAUGAGAGAGCCCCUCACAGAUCCAGCCACUGGCCAGUGACUUGCUGUGAAUGAUGCCAAGUGGGAGUGUCUGUACCCUGCCCAAGUCUGUGUGGUUUCCUAUGCUCUCCUUCUUUGCCAUCACAUAAAUUUACAAAUAUAAUGCAAGCAUGUUUAUAUACAUGUUCUUUUAAGUUAAGAAAACCUCAUCAUGAGAAAAAUAAAAUAAAAUUGCACUGUGGCCUCUCAGAUUAAAGACUGAGUUAAAAUGAGGUUGUCCAACCCAUAGAAGAACAGGCCACACGUGCUGAUACAACUGACCCAUCAUUCCAUCCUGGCACUUAUUCCCAGCCAACUCAUGGGAAUAAUUCCUUCACAAGGCAGCCAAGAGGUAGAAGGUAAAUACAAUCAGCCCCAUGGAUGGAUACAGCACACCAAGGCACAGGGCCAGGUAUGUGGAGGUGCUAUGGAUGAGGGACAGGAGGCCGGAAGCAUAGGGCCAGACCUCUGGCUCUACAAUAGCACUCUCUCCCUUUGAGGAAAAGCAUUUGGUCAUGAGAGACAUCCCCAGCUCAUAGCAAAUGUCUACAGCAGUGAGGGUGUGGAAUUAGGAGGUAAAGAGAUGGUGCUGGCCUAAGGGUGACACACUUCUUCUAAACAAACCUCCAGAGUAGAGCUGCCAAUAAGGCAAAUCUGAAGGGUUGUGAUUAUGAACUGGGAGAUGCUGGUACAUCCCCCAGGCCAUGAAUGACCCCUGAGUGGCCCAGACAUCCUCACUCCCAACAGGUCAAAGAAUUAGCUUGCAAGGACUUCCCUUGCGAGAGAACCAUAGCUGGGUUGAGGGGAUGGCAAAAGGCACAGGCAGCUCUAAUAGUUCAGCUCUCCCUGACUCCUCCUUCGGCCUGAGGGAGGGGAAAGGAGGCAGAGGUACAGAUGACCCGGGCUGCCAAGCCCAGCAGUUCCUACCAUAGCUGCUGAGAGUCAGGCCUGAGAACCAUAAAUUUAUGAACUCAGGGUAGAGCCAAGGCUUGGUGUCCCUUCCUCUGGAAUGAGAGGCCUCAGCCCUGCCCUUCUCUUCAGGGACAAUGGCCUGAUGAGGAAAGCUGGCUUCUCACUGAGGUAAUGAAGAACACCUGCUCAGCUCCAUAGUCACCCUCAAGCUAAGCAGGAAGAAUCCCUGCAGGAGGCAUUCUGGGACAAAGGCUAAGGAGCUCAGCUUAUCAGGACACAUCACAAUUUUAAAUUACACACUCCCACACACAACACACACACAUAAACACACAGACCCCCACAUACACACACACAGACCCACACUUCCACAUACUGACAUUCUCCCAACCUACCCCACUCUGAGCCCCAAAUCCCUCCCCACAAAUACUGUCCUCUGUAAACAUGAUGGCAGGGACUCCUGCAAUCGUGGCACAGGCUGAUAAUGAUCUGAGGAUGACUGCUUAUCAUUAAGUGCCCCGGUACGUGAUAUUGGUGAAGGUAGACGUGGCCUCUUUAUACAGUGGGUUGUUGGCCUGUGGAGGAAACAGAAUAGCAUCUUACAGUGACUUCCUUAAGUCCUUCCCUACCCUGAAUGUUUAAAAUUCAUCUCAGAAGUUUUCCCAAGGCACCGUUCUCUGGAAUACAUCAUCAAUGAAACAGAAUAAUGUUCAUUUUGCUCACACUUUAGUUCUUGGCAUGGGAAUUGAUAGGAAAUAAC
rnacentral:lncRNA from 1 species